UAACGGCUCAGGAGACACCAUUAUCACCAUGGUGGUUUUCCCAGGGUGAGGCUCACCCAUUGCACUCCGGGUGUGCUGACCCCUGUGAUUUCCCGCAAAUGCAGGAAACGCGACUGCAUAAUUUGUGGUAGUGGGGGACUGUGUUUGCGCUUUCCCCUG
rnacentral:snRNA from 1 species